CCGCGAGACUAUCCGCACAGCUUCUCCUCAGGCCCCACAGCUAGAACCCCAAAUCGCCUAGUCCCAACCCAUGCACUCUCUAAUCGGCGCCACACGACGGGCCUUCCCCACAACCUCAUCUGCUUGGGGACGUAAAGGGCUCUGUGGGGGAGCUGCAGCUUUCGUGCCCAUCUGUUAAAGGCCAGAACUUCCCAUCUCUGAAAUGCGGGAGGGAACAGAGCUCAAGCUUGAAUAACUGAGCGCGGCCCGGCAGUCCCCCAAGUGAAGAUUCACCAGAGAAUAAGCCUGAUGGAAGUCUGGAGAUAACAGGACUCCCAACCAGCAGAUGUGAAACCUGAAAUUAGUGAUUUGCCAAAGGAAAUGAUGAGCUGUGAUCCCAGAUUUCAUCUCAAGUAUAAAGUAAUGAAGUGAGAAGAUUGAUGUUGAAAGGGACCUUGGAGGGCAUUUUAAUAUCUACCUUUUGAAAUGAAAAACAAAAUAAAACAAGAGAUUCUAUAAUAAUUCAAUGCCAACUGAAUGCAAUACACUCUUUCAGAUGUUGCAAAGAAAGCUGUACAUUGAGAUCAUCUGGAAAACUUUAAAACCUGCUGAUAUUUGAGCUCUACCCCAAGAAAUUCUGAUGUAAUGUGGAUGAAAACCUGGGCAUUGGGUCUCAUAAUAUCUCCUCCGGGUGAUUAUAAUGAGCAGCAGACUUGGCAUCCACUGGUGUAUGUAAAUUUGAUAUUCUCAUGACUACUCAUUGCUGGAUUGACACCCAACUUUUGCAACCUCCCAUUUACUGAAGAGAUGGACUCCCUGUCUCCCUCUGUCUCCUCUCUUAGAAUGAUACUUCUGUCAAAGCUUGAAUGUGACUUAGAAAAAAAAAUAGCAAUUACCCUUAUACAUUUAUUCUACAAUUUUUGCACCCUUUAUACAUGUUAGAGG
rnacentral:lncRNA from 1 species